rnacentral:rRNA from 1 species
GACGUAGGAUGCAAGCGUUGUCCGGAAUUAUUGGGCGUAAAGAGCUCGUAGGCGGUUUGUCGCGUCUGCUGUGAAAACUGGAGGCUCAACCUCCAGCCUGCAGUGGGUACGGGCAAACUAGAGUGCGGUAGGGGAGAUUGGAAUUCCUGGUGUAGCGGUGGAAUGCGCAGAUAUCAGGAGGAACACCGAUGGCGAAGGCAGAUCUCUGGGCCGUAACUGACGCUGAGGAGCGAAAGCGUGGGGAGCAAACAGG